rnacentral:rRNA from 1 species
CAGGUUGAUAGGUUCGAGGUGGAAGUGUGGCGACACAUGGAGCUGACGAAUACUAAUAGAUCGAAGACUUAACCAAAUA